UACGAAGGGGGCUAGCGUUGCUCGGAAUCACUGGGCGUAAAGCGCACGUAGGCGGAUUGCUAAGUCAGGGGUGAAAUCCUGGAGCUCAACUCCAGAACUGCCUUUGAUACUGGCAACCUUGAGUCCGGGAGAGGUGAGUGGAACUCCUAGUGUAGAGGUGAAAUUCGUAGAUAUUAGGAAGAACACCAGUGGCGAAGGCGGCUCACUGGCCCGGAACUGACGCUGAGGUACGAAAGCGUGGGGAGCAAACAGG
rnacentral:rRNA from 1 species